AUUGAACGCUGGCGGCAGGCCUAACACAUGCAAGUCGAGCGAGCGGCGGACGGGUGAGUAAUGCCUGGGAAUUGCCCAGUCGAGGGGGAUAACAGUUGGAAACGACUGCUUAUACCGCAUACGAUUGGAUUGCCUAGGUGGGAUUAGUGAGUUGGUGAGGGAAUUGCUCACCAAGGCGACGAUCCCUAGCUGGUCUGAGAGGAUGAUCAGCCACACUGGAACUGAGACACGGUCCAUACUCCUACGGGAGGCAGGAGUAGGGAAGCUUCGGCAAUGGACGAAAGUCUGACCGAGAAACGCCGCGUGAGUGAAUAAGUUUUUCGGAUCGUAAAACUCGUUGUUAGAGAAGACGGUAUCUAACCAGAAAGCCACGGCUAACUACGUGCCAGCAGGCGCGGUAAUAC
rnacentral:rRNA from 1 species